GCCUAACACAUGCAAGUCGAACGGAAACAUGUCUAGCUUGCUAGAUGAUGUCGAGUGGCGGACGGGUGAGUAAUGCUUGGGAACUUGCCUUUGCGAGGGGGAUAACAGUUGGAAACGACUGCUAAUACCGCAUAAUGUCUACGGACCAAACAGGGCUUUUAGCUCUGGCGCAAAGAGAGGCCCAAGUGAGAUUAGCUAGUUGGUGAGGUAAAGGCUCACCAAGGCAACGAUCUCUAGCUGUUCUGAGAGGAAGAUCAGCCACACUGGGACUGAGACACGGCCCAGACUCCUACGGGAGGCAGCAGUGGGGAAUAUUGCACAAUGGGGGAAACCCUGAUGCAGCCAUGCCGCGUGUGUGAAGAAGGCCUUCGGGUUGUAAAGCACUUUCAGUUGUGAGGAAAAGUUAGUAGUUAAUACCUGCUAGCCGUGACGUUAACAACAGAAGAAGCACCGGCUAACUCCGUGCCAGCAGCCGCGGUAAUACGGAGGGUGCGAGCGUUAAUCGGAAUUACUGGGCGUAAAGCGCACGCAGGCGGUUUGUUAAGCUAGAUGUGAAAGCCCCGGGCUCAACCUGGGACGGUCAUUUAGAACUGGCAGACUAGAGUCUUGGAGAGGGGAGUGGAAUUCCAGGUGUAGCGGUGAAAUGCGUAGAUAUCUGGAGGAACAUCAGUGGCGAAGGCGACUCCCUGGCCAAAGACUGACGCUCAUGUGCGAAAGUGUGGGUAGCGAACAGGAUUAGAUACCCUGGUAGUCCACACCGUAAACGCUGUCUACUAGCUGUUUGUGGCUUUAAGCCG
rnacentral:rRNA from 1 species